GACGAACGCUGGCGGCGUGCUUAACACAUGCAAGUCGAACGAGGCCCCUCCUUCGGGAGGGUGUCCUAGUGGCGAACGGGUGAGUAACACGUGGGCAACCUGCCCUCAGCUCCGGGAUAACCCCAAGAAAUUGGGGCUAAUACCGGAUACGACCGCUGACCGCAUGGUCGGUGGUGGAAAGUUUUUCGGCUGGGGAUGGGCCCGCGGCCUAUCAGCUUGUUGGUGGGGUAGUGGCCUACCAAGGCGACGACGGGUAGCCGGCCUGAGAGGGUGACCGGCCACACUGGGACUGAGACACGGCCAAGACUCCUACGGGAGGCAGCAGUGGGGAAUAUUGCGCAAUGGGCGGAAGCCUGACGCAGCGACGCCGCGUGAGGGAUGACGGCCUUCGGGUUGUAAACCUCUUUCAGCAGGGACGAAGCGAAAGUGACGGUACCUGCAGAAGAAGCACCGGCCAACUACGUGCCAGCCGCCGCUGUAAAAC
rnacentral:rRNA from 1 species